rnacentral:rRNA from 1 species
AACGCGAAGAACCUUACCUGGGCUCGAAGCGCAGUGGACCGGGGUAGAAAUAUCCCUUCCUCGCAAGAGGCUGCUGCGGAGGUGCUGCAUGGCUGUCGUCAGCUCGUGUCGUGAGAUGUUGGGUUAAGUCCCGCAACGAGCGCAACCCUUAUCCCUAGUUGCCAUCGGGUCAAGCCGGGCACUCUAGUGAAACCGCCCAGGAUAACUGGGAGGAAGGUGGGGAUGACGUCAAGUCCUCAUGGCCUUUAUGUCCAGGGCUACACACGUGCUACAAUGGUCGGUACAAACCGUCGCAAACCCGCGAGGGGGAGCUAAUCGGAAAAAGCCGGCCUCAGUUCGGAUUGGAGUCUGCAACCCGACUCCAUGAAGCUGGAAUCGCUAGUAAUCGCGGAUCAGAACGCCGCGGUGAAUACGUUCCCGGGCCUUGUACACACGCAUAC